rnacentral:rRNA from 1 species
AGUAACGGCGAGUGAAGCGGCAAAAGCUCAAAUUUGAAAUCCUUCGGGAAUUGUAUUUUGAAGGUGGGUUUGGUUAGGAAAAGUUACUUUAAGUCCAUUGGAAAAUGGCGCCAUGGAGGGUGAUAGCCCCGUAAAAGUAUCCCUUUUCCUUUUAUCCAUUCCCUCCAAAGAGUCGAGUUGUUUGGGAAUGCAGCUCUAAGUGGGUGGUAAAUUCCAUCUAAAGCUAAAUAUUGGCGAGAGACCGAUAGCGAACAAGUACAGUGAUGGAAAGAUGAAAAGCACUUUGAAAAGAGAGUGAAAAAGUACGUGAAAUUGUUGAAAGGGAAGGGCUUGCAAGCAGACACAACCUCGGUUGGGCCAGCAUCGGAGUGGGGGGAGACAAAAAAGAAAAGGAAUGUAACUCUUUCGAGUAUUAUAGCCUUUUUCUCAUAUCUCCACCCCCUUCCGAG